GAUACUAGUAGGUUUGUGUUGGAGACCGGGUGUAAGCUGACAUGGUCCUUGCACCCGAAGGGGCUAGCAAGGCUGGGACCCUUACCCACACAGUUUUCCCAGACUUGUUUGGAUGGCAGUUAUCAGUAGAAUU